rnacentral:rRNA from 1 species
UGGGGAAUAUUGCACAAUGGGGGAAACCCUGAUGCAGCGACGCCGCGUGAACGAAGAAGGUAUUCGUAUCGUAAAGUUCUGUCCUAUGGGAAGAUAUGACAGUACCAUAGAAGAAAGCUCCGGCUAAAUACGUGCCAGCAGCCGCGGUAAUACGUAUGGAGCGAGCGUUGUCCGGAAUUAUUGGGCGUAAAGGGUACGCAGGCGGUUUAAUAAGUCGAAUGUUAAAGAUCGGGGCUCAACCCCGUAACGCAUUGGAAACUGAUAAACUUGAGUAGUGGAGAGGAAAGUGGAAUUCCUAGUGUAGUGGUGAAAUACGUAGAUAUUAGGAGGAAUACCAGUAGCGAAGGCGACUUUCUGGACACAAACUGACGCUGAGGUACGAAAGCGUGGGGAGCAAACAGG